AAUUAAACUGCAGCUGAACUGAUUGAGGUUAGCGAAUAUCUGAAUGUUACUUUAAUAAUAUUCGUUGGUCAACCAAAUUCCGAAGCUGAACAGGUCAUAAUGCUGUGGCAGGAUAAAACACAGUUAUAGGGUCAGUACUAUCGACUGCAUUUAUAAUAGUUAUGCUAUGAAA